AGUGAACGCUGGUGGUAGGCCUAACACAUGCAAGUCGAACGGCAGCACAGGAGAGCUUGCUCUCUGGGUGGCGAGUGGCGGACGGGUGGGGAAUACAUCGGAAUCUACUCUGUCGUGGGGGAUAAUGUAGGGAAACUUACGCUAAUACCGCAUACGACCUACGGGUGAAAGCAGGGGACCUUCGGGCCUUGCGCGAUUGAAUGAGCCGAUGUCGGAUUAGCUAGUUGGCGGGGUAAAGGCCCACCAAGGCGACGAUCCGUAGCUGGUCUGAGAGGAUGAGCAGCCACACUGGAACUGAGACACGGUCCAGACUCCUACGGGAGGCAGCAGUGGGGAAUAUUGGACAAUGGGCGCAAGCCUGAUCCAGCCAUACCGCGUGGGUGAAGAAGGCCUUCGGGUUGUAAAGCCCUUUUGUUGGGAAAGAAAUCCAGCUGGCUAAUACCCGGUUGGGAUGACGGUACCCAAAGAAUAAGCACCGGCUAACUUCGUGCCAGCCGCCGCAGUAA
rnacentral:rRNA from 1 species